GGCUGAGACAACAAAUUCAAGAAAGAGCAAAACACAACACAGAAGAUUCUGAGGAAAGAGUAGGUGUUUGAGGUACAUCUUCUGAGAGCCUGAUGUAUUGAAAUUCACUCAAGCUGGGCAUGAUUAAGCACCAAUGAAG